rnacentral:misc_RNA from 1 species
CUUUUAAGGGCUCCCAGAGUCAGUUAAGUGUGUUUAUGAUGGAAAAUAGUGCACCACAGAGUGAAUAAUAGUGGAAGGAAAAAUGGAAAGACAGAAAUGUUUAAGCAGUUACACCGCCUUCUCGGGAUCGCUAUGAUCAGCAAUGUUGUGAUGUUUGGUACGUCUUUAGUUAAGGCGAGGUUCAACUGGCUUUCUUUACGCGGGGCCCCGACCCAUGUUCGUCUGCCCUACCAAACGUAGUGUUUCAAUUGCGGAAACGGCCUCCGUACCAGCCCAAACAUACCCAAGGAUUGACUACGCGUUAGCACGGACCACAAGGAUAGUUUCCUUUAUUUCGCCGUAGUUUUGUGUAUUGUAGCUUUUAACUUUGUGAAGAAUGAGGAAAGAAUACCUAAGAGAUCAUGGGUUGAGGCAUGGAAACAAGAAAAGACCUGAGUGCCAUAAUUAUGCUAGUGAAGGAGCAGGCUCCGGAGGACGGUCGCGGGUUUUACAAAUUUUGACCAUGGAGAAGAAGGAUACUCAGCGGAGAAGGCAAUUCCUGUAGACCAUCGAUUGGCAUUAACACUGCG